UGUUCCAGCUCUGUUCCUGGGUGCAGGGGUAGGAUCUGGGCUCCUUGUGCUGCUGUUACUGCUGACAGGAGGAGUGCUGAAGUGUCUGCAAUCCAAACGAGACCCUGCUGUCCAGAUUGAACCUGUGUACACCACGGUGAAUCUGCCCAAGCAGUCUUCAGAGCAACAUGACGACACACUCACCUACUCAGAAAUAAACACUGCCUGUGUCACCAAGAAGAAACCCAGAACUGCACCUGAAGACAAUGUAACACACGCAACAGUUAAGAGUAAAGUUUAGUGUGGUAGCAAUGGUAAUCCAACAUACAGUGGCUCUCAAAAGUAUUCACCCCCCUUGGACUUUUCCACAUUUUAUUGUGUUACA